AAGAAGCUGCUAGACUGUCCCCACGGCAGCAUCAUCCGCAUGCCAUAGCCGGGGAGCAGGAGUCACGAGCAGUUAGAGAGGAGGUUAUAAAAGGGGCUGCUGGUGCGGCAGUUGAAAAAGAGCCGGUAGCCUGUGAUACAGUGAGGAGCAGUGACGGAGGACAGGGGGAUCUCUUACCAGUAAAGGAGGUGACCCCCGUCGAAAUUAGUUCAGUUAAGUGUGGGAAUCGCUGACACCGGGAGCUGCUGCGGUGGUAGACGCGUGAGUGAGGAGAGACUACAGUCCAGGAUGGACAGCGCCUUACCUCUCUCUGCCAGCACUGAUUGCAUAGGAGGCCAGGAGAGUGAAAGUGUGGAGGGCUGGAGCACUGGUCAAGCAAGUCGAUCCUCCAAAUUCAGCGGCUGGUAGAAGUAGGGACAGCCUCCCUGAGGAAUCGAAGGGGCUAGUCUACAGCACAGACCCAUAGACCCAAAUUCGGUGUGGUAUGACUGGAAACAUCAUUUUAGGCUCAGAGUCAAGGUGAGCUGAGUCAGAAGGAGAAGGAGGAGCAGGUGAGAGGGACCCAGCCUCAGGUUGAGGAGGAGGCUGGUGAGGAGAAAGGAGGAGGCUGUUUCUACCCCUGGGAAGACGAAAAUCAGGCAGGAUGUCCAGUUUACGUACGAAGAGAACUGUGCACUGGUGCAGGUAAUAGUGCCAGUUCAUGAUAGACUCCUAGGACUGGAGGCACAAGACACAACCCUGGCCUGCAAGAAGGGAUUAUGGCAGGGAAUGUGUGAUGCCAUGAAUACAGUCAGCUCUUACAAGCGCUGACUUGAAAAUUUCAAGAAGCACUUCAACGAUGUGAAGUGCAUCCUCAAGGCAAAGCUGGCAGAGGAGCUGCAGGAGUCUCACAGAACAGAGGGAGGCCGAGCACUCCAGAUUCUCUAUAGAGCAUUCGAGGAGGAGCUCAAGCAGGUCAUACCACCUGAAGUACUGUCUGGCUCCCAUAUAAAGGACACCGACCGUCCACAAUCACAAGCCCAACCUGCUGCACAACAGAAGAAGACUUCUGACAAUGCUCCUGCAAAAAGGUGACAUCUGCAAACCGACAAAGAUCAGUCUGGGGAGUCCUAAACAAGUACAAAACUAAGAAAAGUACAAUCAGCCCAUGGGUCAGCAGGCCUCUGCAAUACAUCUAUAAGGGCACGUAACCUUAACUGCAUUACCAUUGUGACAUUUAUCCCUACAUCCAUUUAACAAUUUAAUGAGGCCAAAAUCAUAUCAGUAUUUCAGCUUUCUAAAUUAUAGCUAAUGUUUAGAAGUAAUUUAUCUGUAAAAUGCAAACUUAAUGCAAACUUACCAAGAGAAUUACCUUAAAAACCAUGCUUUUA